rnacentral:SRP_RNA from 1 species
CUGUGCUAAGUGGGGAGUUUGCGGUGCCCUGUACCUGCAAUCCGCAAUAGCAGGACCGAAUUGUCUUUCUCGACGCAAUAAGUGGAAAGCUGCGCUUUGUAAGGGGUGUUGAUACCAAGGUCUUAUGCAACCGACAACUGCGAACCGUGUCAGGAUAGGGAUAUAGCAGCACUAAACAGUCCCGUCGGUGUGCCAUAAGGUAGCUUUGGUGGAGCCACCUGCAAAGUUAACGUUUCGGCUUAUUACGGCAAAAAAGACUGCACAG